rnacentral:rRNA from 1 species
UACGGGGGGAGCAAGCGUUGUUCGGAUUUACUGGGCGUAAAGGGCGCGUAGGCGGUCGUGACAAGUCACUUGUGAAAUCUCCGGGCUUAACUCGGAACGGUCAAGUGAUACUGUCGGACUAGAGUACAGAAGGGGCAACUGGAAUUCUCGGUGUAGCGGUGAAAUGCGUAGAUAUCAGGAGGAACACCCAUGGCGAAGGCAGCAAACUGGGCAUCAACUGACGCUGAGGCGCGAAAGCGUGGGUAGCAAACAGG